rnacentral:rRNA from 1 species
ACAAUGGAGAGUUUGAUCCUGGCUCAGGAUGAACGCUGGCGGUCUGCUUAACACAUGCAAGUCGAACGGAAUCUUUCGGGAUUUAGUGGCGGACGGGUGAGUAACGCGUGAGGAUCUGCCUUCAGGUUCGGGACAACAGUUGGAAACGACUGCUAAUACCGGAUGUGCCGAGAGGUGAAAGCUUUAAGUGCCUGGAGAUGAGCUCGCGUCUGAUUAGCUAGUAGGAGUGGUAACGGCACCCCUAGGCGACGAUCAGUAGCUGGUCUGAGAGGAUGAUCAGCCACACUGGGACUGAGACACGGCCCAGACUCCUACGGGAGGCAGCAGUGGGGAAUUUUCCGCAAUGGGCGCAAGCCUGACGGAGCAA